GAUUUGAUAUGGUGAAUCUUCUAGUUUCGUUUGGAGGAGUCUGGAGAAGGGAGAACUUGAUGUACCUGUCACUGCUACUCUUCAAUCUUGGCUUUGCCUCUGGCGCUCCUCUUUCAUCUUUGAUGUGGAGUGUUCCAAAAUCUGCAGAAAGAACUGGUUCUACCUUGAGGCCCCCAUUCCUCUUGUCCUAUCUCCCUCUGCUACGUCUGGAGAACAGCUCUAGGGGACCUGGCAAAAGUCUACUGGGAAAACUCAGGACUCUGCAUCUUGGAUAGAGGUUCGGGCUGCACGUGCACUGGAGUGGCGAUUAAUAGGAGGAGGUGGAAGCCUUGUUUGCUGCCUGAAGUGUAAGGGGUCAAACCUAAGGGGGACUGACAGCAGAAGGCCAUCGGAGUUUUAUUGCCUUCCAGGAUACAACUGCUUGUGUGGUGUCUGUGGAAAGUGGAGGAAAGUAGCAUUUUUAUACCCUUUUUAACUUUAGAAGUUGUAUUCGUUUAAUUCCUUAUGAACAAAAUUACUUUCAUUGCAUUUUAUGAUCUACAAAAUGCCUUAUUGUAAUUCCUGAGUCUGAAUCACUGGACUGACCUAGGUUAGACCUGGCCUAGAAUGUGUGUGUUUAUAUCACACAUACAUAUGUACAUAUACAUACAUAUUUCUUUAAAUAAAGAUGCAUUCACUUUUAUCUCUCUUCGUUGU
rnacentral:lncRNA from 1 species